rnacentral:rRNA from 1 species
CCCUUAGAUGUUCUGGGCCGCACGCGCGCUACACUGAUGCAUUCAACGAGUCUAAAACCUGCUCUGAUAGGGGUGGGUAAUCUUUUGAAUGUGCAUCGUGAUUGGGAUAGAUGAUUGCAAUUUUUCAUCUUCAACGAGGAAUGCCUAGUAAACGCAAGUCAUCAGCUUGCAUUGAUUACGUCCCUGCCCUUUGUACACACCGCCCGUCGCUCCUACCGAUUGAAUGAUCCGAUGAAUAUCAUGGAUUGAGGAUGCAAGCAGGUUCGCCUGUCUUCAUCUUCGAGAAGUGAAGUAAAUCUUAUCAUUUAGAGGAAGGUGAAGUCGUAACA